AGUUUGAUCUAAUUUUUUUUUUUUUCAGUGAUGAUGAGGACAACUUGAAUUCUGAUACUCAGGAACAACUUGAUGCCAGAGUAGUGGAGAACAGCUCUUUCAUUCUAAGUAGCACAAUUCCCAGUAAAAAAAAGUCAAAGCCAGGAGGAAAACGUGCAAAACCACCUGAAGUGAUUGAAAUAGUGGAUGAAGAAGAUGGUGCUGAAGACAACUCGGUGCCUCUGCAAGGCUCACCUCGGUGAAAAGCAGAUGAACAAAUGAGGUGGCAGUGGUUGUUCUUCAAAUGCCUCUUUCAUGAACCUCUUUGGUUUAAAACAUUGGUCUGGAGUCAGUUUUGAGCUCUCCACACAGCUGCCUUGGCACGUUUGCCUUACUUUUAUGUUGCUUUUGGAAGAUGAAAUACUUCUUGGUUUUCUUGCUGCACAAGGUAGAGAACUGCACUAGGAAGCACAUCGGGUUGUUUGAGGAGGGUAUGUGAGAUUCUGGACUCCUCACCACAAUUACCUCGGUUCAAGCUACCUGUCUCUAGAACUGGAAGCGUUGGUAACUGUCAGUUUCCUCUACUGCUAACAGGCUGUUUGCUGACCUUCUGAUUCAGGAAUCCAUUACUUGGGUGGACAUCUGUGCAACAUGGUGUAGCAAAAGAGGGGCAUUCCUGUGAUGUGUGGAACAGAUUGGAAAACCUCUACACAAGUGAAGUGCACCUGAAGUCCAGUCUGAACUAGCAUCUUGGUCCUUAGAGAAAGUCAAGGAAGAAAUACAGGAUGCCAUUUCACAGAAGUCUGAAGCUGAUUUGAGGGUGCCUGAUGAUACAGAACAGAGUGAAAUGCCCUGAGUUAAAAAAAUGGAAGCAACCUGUUUGACAGUUCCUAGGGACUGCUGCCAAGUUGCUGUGUGUCAGAGGGGGAUGAGAAACACCACGUGGGAGCUACAAAAAUCCUGGUGAUGUUGCUUGCUGUAAGCCUGCUGCAAAGAACUGCACAGCUGUUCCAAAUGAAGAACCUUCUCUAGAGUGUUCAUUGUAGUUUUUUUGGAAUUAAACGUUCAUUUUAAUAGUA